rnacentral:rRNA from 1 species
GUGGGGAAUCUUCCGCAAUGGACGAAAGUCUGACGGAGCAACGCCGCGUGAGUGAUGAAGGUCUUCGGAUUGUAAAGCUCUGUUAAUCGGGACGAAAGAGCCUAGUGUGAAUAAUGCUAGGAAGUGACGGUACCGGAAUAGAAAGCCACGGCUAACUACGUGCCAGCAGCCGCAGUAAUACGUAGGUGGCAAGCGUUGUCCGGAAUUAUUGGGCGUAAAGCGCGCGCAGGCGGAUCUGCCAGUCUGUCUUAAAAGUUCGGGGCUUAACCCCGUGAUGGGAUGGAAACUACAGAUCUAGAGUAUCGGAGAGGAAAGUGGAAUUCCUAGUGUAGCGGUGAAAUGCGUAGAUAUUAGGAAGAACACCAGUGGCGAAGUCGACUUUCUGGACGAUGUCUGACGCUGAGGCGCGAAAGCUAGGGGAGCGAACGGGAUUAGAUACCCCAGUAGUCC